GGCAGUGUAGCUCACUGGAUAGAGUGUUGUACUGGGAUUUGGGUGACCUGGGUUCCAGCCCAGCUUUGCCA
rnacentral:tRNA from 1 species